GCGGUGGUUUAGUGGUUAGGACACCUGUCUUACAGCUCAAGGGUUGCGGGUUCGCUUCCCGCAUCUGCU